CCCAGGCACUUUCCCAGUGCCUAAAACCAGAUCCAGAGCGGCCCCGCCCUUCCUCCACCUCUAAUCAGGGCUACCAGUGACCAGAGGGAGUGUGCAGAAGCCCAGCCCUGUUGGGGCAUUGGGAAUCACUCAUUCCAAAUUCUCCAAUACUGGCUUAGGUAUAACACGCUGAGCGGCCAGACUUCUUUUUUUUUUUUUUUUUUUUUUUGAGAAGUUUGCUUUUAUUCUUAAUGAGUUCUUUGUUUUAUGAAGACAGGAAGGGGUGGGGGGCACAUCUGAAGAAGAGGCUGCACCCGCAGCCUCGGGAACCCCAUAUCCCUAAGGGGGUGCCUGGGUGCAGUCCCUGCCACUCCCCCUGGAUCGCGCUCCCUGCUGGUGAGAGCUCCAGUACCAGAGCCCCUGUGACCCUCCCGGGAGACCCACAUGCAGUUCUUGGUCCUGGAUUCCUGGCCCAGCCCUGGCUGCUGCAGGCGCUGGGGAAUGAGACAAUGAAUGCAAGGUCUCUGUUUCUCUGCGCGUACAAUAAAAAUAAAAUAUUCAAAAAAAAAAAAAAAAGCCUUAAGAAAGCGGAGAGGAAGUGCGAGGCGCGGGCUGGCGGCACCGGGCAGCGGAGCCCUGGGCUCUGAGUCACCACCUGUGAGCACUUCCUACAAGCCCCAUGUUUGCAGCGGCACCGCACACCCGCAGGCUUUUCUGUGCCCCUGCCGCGUGUGGAGAAGACAACUCCAGGGUUCGGGUCGUCCGCGGCGCUGGCUGGAGUUGGCAAGUUCCUUCCUUGCUUCCGGGUUCCGCUCCAGCUGCGGGACGGCACCUCGGGGCGCGGCGCUGGCAGCAGUAGGAUUUUCUGCUGUCACAGAGCUGGUGACAGCUCUUUGACCCGGACACCAGAAAGUGGACAGAGGUUCAUCCUGGGGCCAGCUGGAUGAAGACCACCUGGGAGAAUGACAGGCAGCUGACUGAGUUCUUGCAGAAGGUGUCCAUGGGAGACUGCACAAGGUGGCUGGGGAACUUCUUGUUGCCCAGGGAGGAGAUGCUGGAGUCUACAGGGCUUUUCCCAACUGUGAUGCUGGAAUCACAACCACAGUGACACACGGCUGACAUGACGCUGCCUACCUGGGACAUUCACCACUGGGUGCUUUUGGAGUUUCUGUACCAUUUUGUUUUUAUGUAUUGAUUCUGUAUUUUAACCUGUCAUGAGCCGUUAGCCCAAGUUCAGUGAGGCUGGUACUAUGACUUGGAUCACAUCUCUUCACUAGCUGUGCCUCGCCAUUCCCUGUUCUAACUAUGGCCCAGCGACCCAAUGCAGCACACUCCACUGUGGGAGAUCCCAUGAGACUGCCUGCCUAGCCCAUGCAGUUAGCCUGAGUGCUGGCAGGCCCAGGAGCCCCAGGCACGUUUUCCCCAGCCCUGCCUCUGCCAAUCAGGUAAACUGUUCCUGGGUGUGGCCCAGGCCCACCUGGAAAGCUAUGAGCCUAUGUGACCUUCAAGCUGAUUGAGAAGCAUAGUGGCACCAAUACCACCUUCAUCUAUAGAAUUAGUGCUGCCCUGAAUCAGUUAUGCACCCUCUGCCUGCCCUUUACAAGGUGUGCUUGGUCGUUAAUAAAGCUGUCGUGUGCCCUGAAA